GGUACACCUGGCAUGUCUGACUUCAUGAGAAAAGCAUUCGAUGAGCUUUUUUUCCAUGGCAUCCUGGCGGACACGACGGGGACCCGAAGGUCAGAUAAGGCAAACUGCUAUUCCACAGAUGAGUUGAGUGAAUUAAAUAAUAAGGAAUCAACUACCUGAACAUGGGCAGUCGGGGAGCAUCAGAGGUUGGAAGGUCCAAUUACCAGGACACACGCGGACUCUCUGGGGAGGACUGGGAAACACGGGGUGAUCUGCUCUGGCACAGAAGAGGGGAGAUGGCCCCCAACAUCCAGAUCCAGGAAAAAAAGGAGGGGGGCAAUGGCAUGGUUAAAAGAAGAAUCCAGGCAUUCCAGAGAAGGAAAUGGCCAGAGGAGAGAGCCUGCCUUGAAGAAUUUGGGAAACAAGU